UACGGAGGGUGCAAGCGUUUAUCCGGAUUCACUGGGUUUAAAGGGUGCGUAGGCGGCUUGCCAAGUCAGUGGUGAAAGCCCGCGGCUUAACCGUGGAAUUGCCAUUGAAACUGGCUGGCUCGAGUGUGAUUGAAGUGGAUGGAAUACAUCAUGUAGCGGUGAAAUGCUUAGAGAUGAUGUAGAACACCAAUUGCGAAGGCAGUUCACUAAGUCACAACUGACGUGAGGCACGAAAGCGUGGGGAUCAAACAGG
rnacentral:rRNA from 1 species